UGAUGUAUCAGCACAAGUAAGCACAACACCUGAUGUGACUGAUAUAUCAACCACAUCAGCACUUGUGGCAACUGAUUACUUCUGUGAAGACUGUAUUGAGAAUCCUGGCAUCGCAAGUCAGCAACAAGC